AACGAACGCUGGCGGCAUGCCUAACACAUGCAAGUCGAACGAGACCUUCGGGUCUAGUGGCGCACGGGUGCGUAACGCGUGGGAACCUGCCCUUAGGUUCGGAAUAACUCCCCGAAAGGGGUGCUAAUACCGGAUAAUGUCUUCGGACCAAAGAUUUAUCGCCUUUGGAUGGGCCCGCGUUGGAUUAGCUAGUUGGUAGGGUAAAAGCCUACCAAGGCGGCGAUCCAUAGCUGGUCUGAGAGGAUGAUCAGCCACACUGGGACUGAGACACGGCCCAGACUCCUGCGGGAGGCAGCAGUGGUGAAUAUUGGACAAUGGGCGAAAGCCUGAUCCAGCAAUGCCGCGUGAGUGAUGAAGGCCUUAGGGUUGUAAAGCUCUUUUACCCGGGAUGAUAAUGACAGUACCGGGAGAAUAAGCUCCGGCUAACACCGU
rnacentral:rRNA from 1 species